GGCCCUAUAGUUUAGUGGAAGAAUUCGAACUUCGGGUGUUCGAGGCGCGGGUUCGAUUCUCGCUGGGGCCA